CGGUGAGAAUGCAAAACGGUGCGGCUGC
rnacentral:piRNA from 1 species